CCUACGGGAGGCUGCAGUGAGGAAUUUUGCGCAAUGGGGGAAACCCUGACGCAGCAACGCCGCGUGAGUGAUGAAGGCCUUCGAGUCGUAAAGCUCUGUCAAGUGGGAAGAAGUCAUGCAUGGCCAAUAUCCAUGUAUGUUGACGGUACCACUGAAGGAAGCACCGGCUAACUCCGUGCCAGCAGCCGCGGUAAUACGGGGGGUGCAAGCGUUACUCGGAAUCAUUGGGCGUAAAGGGCGCGUAGGCGGCCUGAUCAGUCAGAUGUGAAAGCCCGGGGCUCAACCCCGGAAGAGCAUUUGAUACUGUCAGGCUUGAGUAUGGGAGAGGAAAGUGGAAUUCCUGGUGUAGAGGUGAAAUUCGUAGAUAUCAGGAGGAACACCGGUGGCGAAGGCGACUUUCUGGACCAAUACUGACGCUGAGGCGCGAAGGCGUGGGGAGCAAACAGGAUUAGAUACCCCAGUAGUC
rnacentral:rRNA from 1 species